UGGAAUGUUUACUGGAGUAAGCUUUGUGAAGAAAGUUCAGAAGGGUUAGGUUGAUUAUGUCACCAAAAACUUUGUGAUUUCUUGUGGCACUUUAUUAUGUUAUUUGAUGUAAUUAGUUGGCUAAGUUACUUUUUGUGAAUAAAAGGAUGAGUAUUAUCCCUAGAAAAAUGAUAACAUGCUUUGGUUGUCUGCCCAAAAAUC
rnacentral:lncRNA from 1 species